rnacentral:rRNA from 1 species
UAAAGCAUCGGAACGUACCCAGAGGUGGGGGAUAACGCAGCGAAAGCUGUGCUAAUACCGCAUGUGAUCUGAGGAUGAAAGCGGGGGACCUUCGGGCCUCGCGCCUUUGGAGCGGCCGAUGUCGGAUUAGCUAGUUGGUGGGGUAAAGGCCUACCAAGGCGACGAUCCGUAGCUGGUCUGAGAGGACGACCAGCCACACUGGGACUGAGACACGGCCCAGACUCCUACGGGAGGCAGCAGUGGGGAAUUUUGGACAAUGGGCGCAAGCCUGAUCCAGCAAUGCCGCGUGCGGGAAGAAGGCCUUCGGGUUGUAAACCGCUUUUGGCAGGAACGAAAAGCUCUGGGCGAAUACCCUGGGGUGAUGACGGUACCUGCAGAAUAAGCACCGGCUAACUACGUGCCAGCAGCCGCGGUAAUACGUAUGGUGCGAGCGUUAAUCGGAAUUACUGGGCGUAAAGCGUGCGCAGGCGGUUGUGUAAGACAGGCGUGAAAUCCCCGGGCUCAACCUGGGAAUGGCGCUUGUGACUGCACGGCUGGAGUGCGUCAUAGGGGGAUGGAAUUCUGCGUGUAUCAGUGAAA